GGUUAUGGCUCAGUGGUAGAGUGUGUGCCUAGCACAUGCGAGGUCCGGGGUUCGAUCCUCUGCACCA
rnacentral:tRNA from 1 species